rnacentral:rRNA from 1 species
AUGGCGAUGGAGGCGGCGAUAAUCGGCGCGUUGCUGAAGACCGCGCUGCCGAAGGCCGUCUCGGUGCUGGGCGGGAGCAGGGAUGUCGAAUCCAUCCAGUUGGAGCUCAGUUACAUCGAGGCCACCAUCCGAGACCACCGCAAGAAGACCGGCGGCAAGGACACGAGCCACCUGCGGGAGGCCUGGAUCCACGACCUGACGCGCUUCGCGUUCGACAUCGAGGACUGCGUCGACCGCUUCCUGCAGCAGGUGUCGGAGGACGGCGAGGCGGGCUUCCUCCGCCGCUCCGUUCGCUCCGCCAAGAACACCGUGUACACCCGCACGGUGUUCUCCCCCAAGAUCCGCAAGCUCAAGACCAGAUCCGAGGAGAUACACCGCCGGCUCAAGCGCUACAUCGAGGAGGAGACGACGGGGGUGACAGUGACACCCGACGGCGCGGCGUCGAUCCCCACCGCAGGGGCGCACGCAUGGUCCGGUGCUCCGGCGGCGGCGGUGGGGAUGGACGAGCCUCUAGGGGAGCUUCUUGAGCUCGUGCGGGAGCCUGGGGGCCCGUCAGAGGGGAAGCUCAGGGUGAUAUCUGUCGUUGGCUUCCAUGGCCUCGGCAAGACUCUUCUUGCCCGCCAAGUGUUCGAUCACGGCGAUGUGCGCGAACAGUUCCCUCUGCGAGUUUGGGUUUGCGCGGCGGGCAAGGGCAAGCCGGCGGUUCUCAAGGAGAUGCUCGAUAAAGUGCUCCAGAAUGGUGCCGGUACCUCCACCGACAGCGCCCGGCAAGCUGACUCUGCUCCUGCCGGCACACGCGAGGCGACGACUACCUCCAACGCCAACAGCCUCGUCUCACAGGUUGAGGAGAAUGGUGUUGAGCAAGUCCAGACUGGUGAGAGGACUGCAGCCGGUGGCGUCCAUGGCGUCGGACCCGUCGGUACAUGGCGCCAGUGCAUCCAAGCAGUUUGGUGGGCUCUGGCGACAAUACUGCUGUACAUCUUGUCCCCGGCAUUCACCGUGGCAAACAUGGUGCGAGCCUCUUCUCUCCAAGUUGAGUCUGCAGACAUACGUAGUGCUACUGUGAAUGCAAGUAUCUCCACCAGCACCGUCACACUAGUUGAUGAGAACAAGAGUGUCCAGAUGAAGAGGCAAGCUGGUAGGGGCAAGGCUAUUCAGGAGGACACUCACAAGGACGGUGUAGAUGAUACGGCGAUCAUUGAACACCGUCUACGAUCAUACCUGAAGAAUCAAAGGUAUCUGAUUGUAAUUGAUGGCAUGCAAACAGAAGAGUUGUGCAACAUAACAUCUGUAUUCCCUGUGGAUAACGCAGUGGACAGCAGAGUUAUUGUGACGACAACCAUUAAGAAAAUAGCAAGACGCUGCAGCUCUGCCAAUGGUCGUGUGUACAAAAUGAAAACACUUGAUGACAAUGAUUCAAGAAAGCUGUUCUUCGAAGUAUUUUCCAAGGGUAAAUGUUCAGAUGCAGAUGCAACGGAAUUGAAAGCAUCUGCCCUCCUGGAAAAAUGUGGUGGCCUACCGCUUGCCCUUGAAAGCAAAGCAAAGUUUCUGAAGAGUGAAGAAGACCUGACCAAGAGUAAAUGUGAAGAUGCCUGCCGCAAGCUUUGUGCUCCAGAAGGGUGUGACGACACACUGGGAAGAAUGCAUGGGGUUCUUGCCAGCAGCUAUGAGAGUCUAUGUAGCCUUGUUCUCCAGCAGUGCUUGCUAUAUUUCUGUAUGUUCCCGCGUGGCCACCGUGUCAGGAGGAAUCCUCUAAUCAGGCGGUGGCUGGCUGAAGGACUUGUACAUGUACAACCAGGGGAUGCAGUGAGCACCACACCCCAAGACAUCGCAAUUGAGAACUUGGAGACCCUGAUCGACCGCAGUAUCAUUCAGUCCACAGAAGUGAGCACCUGUGGGAGUGUGAAGAAUUGCCAACCUCCUGGGAUGAUGCUCGAGUACAUCGUCCGCAAGUCCAUGUCUCAGAAUUUCAUCACCUUGCUUUGUGGUGAGAGUGAGACGGCCAAAGAAUGGGACUACGUUCGCCGGCUUUCGCUCCAUGAUUACUGUGCUGCAAAACUGCCCAAGGGCUUAUCUCGUCUCCGGACCUUGGCAAUAUUCCCUGCCGGGGAUGCUGCCAAAAAUGAACCUAUACUGGAUUUUGCGAAGUAUGACCUACUGCGAGUGUUGGAUUUAGAAGAAUGUGAUGGUCUAAAUGACGGGCACCUCCAGAACAUAUGCAACCUGGUGCUUCUGAAAUAUUUGAGCCUUGGGGGCCUCAUUAGUGAGGUCCCAAAGAAAAUUGCCAGGCUGCAACAGUUAGAGACACUGGACCUGAGGAGAACCAAGAUAGAGAAGGUGCCCGUGGAAGUCAUCCAGCUCCCCCAGUUAAAACAUCUCCAUGGAAAAUUUCAGCUUAUUGAAGGUGACUACGGAAAGGCAAAUCCAGAGCACUUGUCUAAGAGAAGUACCCUGGAGACACUUUCAGGAUUUGUCACAGGAGAAAGCGAAGGAUUUCCACAGGUGAUGCGGCACAUGAAGCGGUUGAGAAAGGUAAAAAUAUGGUGCAAAUCCACCACAAGCAGAAGGAACCUGAACCAUCUUGAAGAGGCCAUCAAGGUGUUCAUCCGUGAUGGGAACGAAUGGCCUCAUCGCUCCUUAUCCAUUGACUUCCAAGAAUGCCCGGACCCAUUCCUGGGUUCUCUGAAAGCCCCCGGAAGUCUUGCCUCGCUGAAGCUGCGGGGCAAUCUCGGGCGAUUCCCUCAGUUCGUUAUGAAUCUGAACAGAAUCGAGGAGCUGUGUCUGUCAUCGACUAGCCUAAGCCGGGGUGUUCUUCUAUCUGGUGGUCGUUUGGACACACUGAAGUAUCUGAAGCUCAUUGAAGAGAACAUUGGGCCUCUCGAAAUACAACAUGAGCACUUCCCAAGCCUCCGGCGUAUAUGGCUCGUCGGCGCACAAAGCCUGCAUGACGUAACAACUGGAGCUCUGCCGCAUCUUACCUCACUUCAUGUGAUCUGCGAAUCUUUAGAUGGUCUUGCCGGCAUCGAAAUCAGACGCCUAGAAGGAUUAAAGGAAGUCAGGCUCCAUUCUGGGGUCGAUCAAGGAACGAAAGAUGCAUGGAAGGAAGCUGCAAGGGGACAUCCUAAGAGGCCCGACGUUCUGCUUCACUGA